UGGAAUAUCAGAUUGAGGUAGGUUUGCAACGAUUUAUUAUUUUAUUAUCUUUAAAUGACCUAUUACUUUAAAAUAUAACAUCUUAAACUUCUAAUAAAGCUUCUGUGAUUUAAAUCAGAUGCCUCAAUUAAAUUAUGUGUUUUAACUAACGUUAUAGGCAAAUAAUUGGUCGACCGAUCCCAGACUGCCAUCAUACAGCCAUCUUUAUUACACAACACAGAUGUCUGCCACUCCUGCUGACCUCGAAAAGAUGGGGAACCUGCCUGUGAGUCCUCGUUUGAUCCUGCUUGGUGUUAAUCCGGGCCAAUGGAUGAAACAAUGGAUGAUCAGCCUCGAAGGCCGAAUAAUCUGCGAGGGUGUGCAGCCAACCUUUAUCUCUGGACUUGCUGCAUUGUUCUCUUCGUAUUACAUUUUUAAUUUGCAGUACCAAGAGGAAGCAGCAUCCACACUAGAAUUCCUUCAAAGGUAACAAGUUUGGACUUAUUUUAUUUAUUUCUAAUUAAUAUGUUAGUAUUAGUAUGGUGACAAUAGAAUCCUCAAGCCAUCCUUACUUUCUUCUUUGAGCCGAACACAGUCGGAGUUAUAAAGAGAAAAUAAUAUUCUGGCUUCCCAGCUUUGCAAUGGCAUUGAAUAGAUCCCGAGUUUUUGAAGCUCCAAAAACCGCAUCCAUCCAUCAUAAAAUCCAUACGACUCCAGGGGGUUAAUGAAGUGAAGCGAUGGUUUUUUGUAAGAAAAAUAUCCAUGUUUAUAACUUUUAUCAGCUAUAAUCACUGGCUUCCAGAAACAGCCGUACGCGAGUUCCAGAUAGAGUCGAGUUCCGGCAGAAGAAUGACCUUUGACCCGACAUAUGAAAUCUUAUAUCAAAGUCCUAUUCUUUCAAAACGUCUUAAGCCCUAUUCGGACGGGACUAGCUUCACAGGGGGACGUUAGAGAAAUUUAUGCUUGACAGAUGUACUUUGAGAUUUGAAUCCUGUCCGAAUCUGCCAUGUCUGUCUUUUUCUCACACGACCUCUGUGAAAAUUCCAGAGCAAAUGACCUACUGUUUUUCGUCAAACUCGAGGGUCCUCAGAUUAAUCUAAUCCUGUCCGAAUGCGAAUGUCUGUGAUUGCCAAAAAAGUUUUUUUUCCAAAACGCUUUUUCUUGUGUGUUUUAGUCAACGUGAACUACCAUAAAAUCUCUCGCCGGUAUUCAAGUUUCUGCUUUUUGCGCACCGAUAAUGGAUGUAGAUGUGACGCAUUCGUCAGUUCAAACCUAAGCUUUCGCUACGUCUUCGCCAUACGUCCUACGUCAUGCGUCAGGUCAGAGGUGACCCUUCCGCCAGAACUCAACUCAAUUAUGAACACGCAUAUGGUCAU